AAGGAGGAGCAAGAGGAAGAAAUGGCUGGUUCUCAGGUGAAUGUGUCCCAGCUCAGGGGUGAUGUUCUCUUUUCGUUCU
rnacentral:miRNA from 1 species